rnacentral:rRNA from 1 species
UACGUAGGGGGCUAGCGUUGUCCGGAAUCAUUGGGCGUAAAGCGCGUGUAGGCGGCUCUUCAAGUCGAGUGUGAAAGCUCCAGGCUUAACCUGGGAAUUGCGCUCGAUACUGUUGAGCUAGAGUGUGGAAGGGGGCUACUGGAAUUCCGUGUGUAGCGGUGAAAUGCGUAGAUAUACGGAGGAACACCUGCGGCGAAGGCGGGUACUGG